rnacentral:rRNA from 1 species
UUUCUUAUCUAUCUUGUAAACCUAGUUUACUACUAAUAGAAUGCUGGGAGUAAGGGAGGAGAUAUGAAAAUCUCCCUUCUCCUCUCAGUCUAAUCCUCCUCUUCUUCCCGGAUCUUUUCAUGGUAUCAAAGCACACCUGAUCUUUCCUUCUUUAUCUAAUCUCCCUAUAAUCUAUUUCCUUUUCCUUUCCUUCUUCUUCUUCCCCUUUUUAUUUGCUGACUUGGGAGUUGACUCUUCACUUUACAAAGUUUCAUGGGUUUGGAAGGGAAUAUCUAGGCUAAAGAAGACUAAGUUUAGUGUGGGGAUCGGAUACUCUAUUGGCAAUGGGGAUAGAACUCGAUUUUUGGGAGGACAUGUGGGUUGGGGAAAUCUCUCCAACAGCGAAAGCAAUUGCUAGGCCGACAUUGACACUGAGAGACGAAAGCUAGGGGAGCGAAUGGGAUUAGAUACCCCAGUAGUCCCAGCCGUAAACGAUGGAUACUAGGUGCUGUGCGUAUCGCCCCGUGCAGUGCUGUAGCUAACGCGUUAAGUAUCCCACCUGGGGAGUACGUUCGCAAGAAUGAAAAUGAAAGGAAUUGACAGGGGCCCGCACAAGCGGUGGAGCAUGUGGUUUAAUUCGAUGCAAAGCGAAGAACCUUACCAGGGGUUGACAUGCGGUGAAUCCUCUUGAAAGAGAGGGGUGCCUUCGGGAACACGGACACAAGUGGUGCAUGGAUGUCGUCAACUCGUGCCGUAAGGUGUUGGGUUAAGUCCCGCAACGAGUGCAACCCUUGUGUUUAGUUGCCACCAUUGAGUUUGGAACCCUGAAUAGACUGCCAGUGAUAAGCCGGUAGUGAAGGUUGAGGAUGACGUAAGUAUCAUACCUCUUAUGCCCUGGGUGACACACACGUGCUACAUGUUGGACAAAGGGUCGCGAUCCCGUGAGGGCGAGCUAACUCCAAAAACCCAUCCUUAGUUCGGAUUGCAGGCUGCAACUCGCCUGCUUGAAGCCAGAAUCGCUAGUAAUCGCUGGCCAGCCAUACGGCGGUGAAUUCUUUCCCGGUCCCCAGUGUUGCUCGUCUAUCUACAAGAGAGGUUAUUAUGUCUCCAAAUGCUAUUCUUUUGUCAAGACUGAAGUGGUGUGGUCCCUGCCAUGUUGGAGAAACAUGAAAGACGAGGAAAUUGAAGAAU